AUACUUAUCUUGUAAGAGCAAUACCAUGAUCAAAUAGGUGGUUUGCCCAAAGUGAGGCUCAGCUAUUGCACUCGGGCUUUGCUGACCUUUGCGAAUUCCCCAAAAGUGGGACUCUCCACUGCAUAAUUUCUGAUAGUGGGGGACUGUGUUUGUGCUCUCCCCUU